GAUGAAGAACGUAGCGAAAUGCGAUACUUGGUGUGAAUUGCAGAAUCCCGUGAACCAUCGAGUCUUUGAACGCAAGUUGCGCCCGAAGCCGUCAGGCCGAGGGCACGCCUGCCUGGGCGUCACACGCCGUUGCCCCCCCGCGCCCCGCACCCAACUCUUUGGGAGCGACCGCGGGGCGGGCUGAUGAUGGCCUCCCGUGCGCUCCGCCGCGCGGUUGGCCCAAAUACCGAGUCCCCGGCGACGUGCGCCACGACGAUCGGUGGUUGAGAGACCUCUGUCGCAAGUCGUGCGCGCCCGUCGCGUCACGCGGGCUCGCAUAGCGCCUCGCGCCGCACCCGGUGCGUAGCUUUCAACGCGACCCCAGGUCAGGCGGGGUUACCCGCUGAAUUUAAGCAUAUCAAUAAGCGGAGGA
rnacentral:misc_RNA from 1 species